rnacentral:rRNA from 1 species
GAAAGGGAGCAAGGGAGGGGAAGAAGGGGGGGAGGGGGGGAGGAAGGAAAAAAGAAAAAGGAGAAAAAGGCGGGUUGGGGAAUUUUCCGCAAGGGGGGAAAGCCUGAGGGAGCAAUUCCGCGUGGGGGAGGAAGGCUCUGGGGUUGUAAACCUCUUUUCUCAGGGAAGAACACAAUGACGGUACCUGAGGAAUCAGCAUCGGCUAACUCCGUGCCAGCAGCCGCGGUAAUACGGAGGAUGCAAGCGUUAUCCGGAAUGAUUGGGCGUAAAGCGUCCGCAGGUGGCUGUGUAAGUCUGCUGUCAAAGAGCAAAGCUCAACUUUGUAAAGGCAGUGGAAACUACACGGCUAGAGUGCGUUCGGGGCAGAGGGAAUUCCUGGUGUAGCGGUGAAAUGCGUAGAGAUCAGGAAGAACACCGGUGGCGAAGGCGCUCUGCUAGGCCGCAACUGACACUGAGGGACGAAAGCUAGGGGAGCGAAUGGGAUUAGAUACCCCAGUAGUCCUAGCUGUAAACGAUGGAUACUAGGCGUGGCUUGUAUCGACCCGAGCCGUGCCGUAGCUAACGCGUUAAGUAUCCCGCCUGGGGAGUACGCACGCAAGUGUGAAACUCAAAGGAAUUGACGGGGGCCCGCACAAGCGGUGGAGUAUGUGGUUUAAUUUGAUGCAAUCGGGAAGAACCUUACCAAGGGCUUGACAUGUCGCGAACUUUUCUGAAAGGAAGAGGUGCUUUGGGGGGCAACACGGGGGCCAUG